CAGCAGCCGCGGGAAUACGUAGGUGGCAAGCGUUGUCCGGAAUUAUUGGGCGUAAAGCGCGCGCAGGCGGAUCAGUCAGUCUGUCUUAAAAGUUCGGGGCUUAACCCCGUGAUGGGAUGGAGACUGCUGAUCUAGAGUAUCGGAGAGGAAAGUGGAAUUCCUAGUGUAGCGGUGAAAUGCGUAGAUAUUAGGAAGAACACCAGUGGCGAAGGCGACUUUCUGGACGAAAACUGACGCUGAGGCGCGAAAGCCAGGGGAGCGAACGGGAUUAGAUACCCCCGUAGUCCCUGUCUCUUAUACA
rnacentral:rRNA from 1 species